UGUGAAAUUAAACAAGUCUAACGCAGCAGAAAAAUAACUGGUGGCAAGGGGAAAUUUGUUGUACGCGACCAAGUCACAGACUUGCAGUGCUAAACAGCAACAGGGAAGUUUUAACAUUGUUUUUGUACAGCAUCACAUUUCCCCAGAACUCCCUGAAAAUUUCCAGGACUAUCCCCCAUUCUUUUUGGGAACAAAGCUCAUGUUUACAGACUGCAAACUGCUCACCUUAUCCAGCAGUUCUUUUGUUUCUGCAGUCAGGGGUGCAUGAGAAAAUUUGCACUUAUCUCCUUGAUAACAUUUUGCUCCUGUAUGGUAAAACUUGCAAGGGAAUUCAUUGUGCAAAUAAAUGCAGUUCUCUCCUUUGGUGCAAUAACCCUGUAUGUAAAACUUGCAGAUUUCCUUUUUCUUCUCUAUCUCUGCAUCAUGAUCAAAUUUACACUGCUCUCCCUAUAAAUAAGAAGAGAAACACGUUAUCAGUCCAAAAUGCUGAGUAGUUCAAUUUCACAUCUCAAGGAAAGCUUUCUCCUUCACUGAAUUUAAACUUUUUAUAAUUGCUAGCACAGGAUUAUAUUGUAAGUAUACACCUAAAAAAAAUCUGAACGGGGGAAGUGGGACACAGAGAAACAACUGCUGAAUCUGGAUUCUAAAGAACACAUUUGAUGGUUACAGAAAAAAAAGCUGAUCUUACUAUACCAGUUGUCUCCCCUGUUCCCAUCUAGUAAUUAGCAUUAAAAAGACAUUUAAACCAAUACCUCAUCAAAGUUAUUUCACAUAUAAACAGCAGUGCACUUAAUCAGUAAAUCUGACUCUGUUUUAACAACAAAUGGAGAUAAUUAUGAAGUCCAAUAAGCAAAGUAUUUUAACUCUUCCAUGUAGGACAUCAAGCUGCCAAUCCUGGGACAUUAGGGUUAAUCUGCUGGAGAAGUUUUUUUUUUGUACAUUCUUUUAAUUAUUUUCAAGAAAAAUACACAAAGUUAUUUCAACUACUUGUCUUACAACUGAAGGUGGCAGCAAAUACUCAUCUCACUGAGCACAACAUACUAAAAUACAUAAUGCCAGCAAAACGUGUUCAUUUCAUUUGCUCCUUCACUUGGGGAGAAAAGCAUACUGAUUUUCAUCCUUAAUUUCACACUGCAAAUAAGCAACAGAAAACGUUCUAUCGUGAAAUGCACAGAAAAAUUAGAUAUAAAUGGCACACUCACUUAUUUGAGAAGCACGGAGUGUGAUUUGUAACUGACUGAACUAUUCUGACAGCACAGGAUUCAACUUCACAGCAGCAUUAGCUUCAAAAUGAAGCAAUAGCAAAGUUCUAAUGCAAUAACAGACUGUCUUGCUAGGGAUUUUGCUUGACAGCUGACUGCUCUGAAUAGGAUUCUCUUCUUUCUGUUGCCUUCCACUUGCUGGCUGAAGGAAGAUGACUUCAGUUCUCUGGUAAGGGAACUAUUCCUACAACCUCACUUUUUACAGAGAGAAAUAAUUCAGCACAAUUAAGCA
rnacentral:lncRNA from 1 species